rnacentral:rRNA from 1 species
UACGGAGGGUGCUAGCGUUGUUCGGAAUCACUGGGCGUAAAGCGCGUGUAGGCGGCCUGUUAAGUCUGAUGUGAAAGCCCGGGGCUCACCCCCGGAAGUGCAUUGGAAACUGCCAGGCUCGAGUCCCGGAGAGGAGGGUGGAAUUCCUGGUGUAGCGGUGAAAUGCGCAGAUAUCAGGAGGAACACCAAUGGCGAAGGCAGAUCUCUGGGCCGUAACUGACGCUGGAGGAGCGAAAGCAUGGGGAGCGAACAGG